UACAGAGGUCUCAAGCGUUGUUCGGAUUCAUUGGGCGUAAAGGGUGCGUAGGCGGCGCGGUAAGUCGGGUGUGAAAUCUCGGGGCUUAACUCCGAAACUGCAUUCGAUACUGCCGUGCUUGAGGACUGGAGAGGAGACUGGAAUUUACGGUGUAGCGGUGAAAUGCGUAGAUAUGUGGAGGAAUACCGAUGGCGAAGGCAGCCCCCUGGGAUAACACUGACGCUCAUGCACGAAAGCGUGGGGAGCAAACAGG
rnacentral:rRNA from 1 species